GUCCCAGUGGCCGAGUGGUUAAGGCGAUGCCCUGCUAUAAGGCAUUGGGUUUUACCUGCGCAGGUUCGAAUCCUGUCUGUGACG
rnacentral:tRNA from 3 species